rnacentral:rRNA from 1 species
GAUGAACGCUGGCGGCGUGCCUAAUACAUGCCAGUCGAGCGAACAGACGAGGAGCUUGCUCCUCUGACGUUAGCGGCGGACGGGUGAGUAACACGUGGAUAACCUACCUAUAAGACUGGGAUAACUUCGGGAAACCGGAGCUAAUACCGGAUAAUAUAUUGAACCGCAUGGUUCAAUAGUGAAAGACGGUUUUGCUGUCACUUAUAGAUGGAUCCGCGCCGCAUUAGCUAGUUGGUAAGGUACAGGCCUACCACGGCAACGAUGCGUAUGCGACCUGAGAGGGUGAUCGGCCACACUGGAACUGAGACACGGUCCAGGCGCCUACGGGAGGCAGCAGUAGGGAAUCGUCCGCAAUGGGCGAAAGCCUGACGGAGCAACGCCGCGUGAGUGAUGAAGGUCUUCGGAUCGUAAAACUCUGUUAUUAGGGAAGAACAAAUGUGUAAGGAACUAUGCACGUCUUGACGGUACCUAAUCAGAAAGCCACGGCUAACUACGUG